UCCUCUGUAGUCCAGUCGGUAGAACGGCGGACUGUUAAUCCGUAUGUCACUGGUUCGAGUCCAGUCAGAGGAGCCA
rnacentral:tRNA from 2 species